UACGGAGGGUGCAAGCGUUUUUCGGAAUCAUUGGGCGUGAAGCGCGUGUAGGCGGCUUCGCAAGUCGGGUGUGAAAUCCCGGGGCUCAACCCCGGAUCUGCACUCGAUACUGCGUCGCUAGAGUCCCGGAGGGGAAGGCGGAAUUCCCGGUGUAGAGGUGAAAUUCGUAGAUAUCGGGAGGAACACCAGUGGCGAAGGCGGCCUUCUGGAAGGUGACUGACGCUGAGACGCGAAAGCGUGGGGAGCAAACAGG
rnacentral:rRNA from 1 species